GAUGAACGCUGGCGGCGUGCCUAAUACAUGCAAGUCGAGCGAACAGACGAGGAGCUUGCUCCUCUGACGUUAGCGGCGGACGGGUGGGUAACACGUGGAUAACCUACCUAUAAGACUGGGAUAACUUCGGGAAACCGGAGCUAAUACCGGAUAAUAUAUUGAACCGCAUGGUUCAAUAGUGAAAGACGGUUUUGCUGUCACUUAUAGAUGGAUCCGCGCCGCAUUAGCUGGUUGGUAAGGUAACGGCUUACCAAGGCAACGAUGCGUAGCCGACCUGAGAGGGUGAUCGGCCACACUGGAACUGAGACACGGUCCAGACUCCUACGGGAGGCAGCAGUAGGGAAUCUUCCGCAAUGGGCGAAAGCCUGACGGAGCAACGCCGCGUGAGUGAUGAAGGUCUUCGGAUCGUAAAACUCUGUUAUUAGGGAAGAACAAAUGUGUAAGUAACUAUGCACGUCUUGACGGUACCUAAUCAGAAAGCCACGGCUAACUACGUG
rnacentral:rRNA from 1 species